CUGACUGUUUUAGCAUAGCUUUCGCUUUGUGUCUCCUGGUGUCUCGCUUCAGCAUGACCCAGGUCGCCUUCCGUUGCGCGAUUUGGUUAGUACGCGUACUCUGUCAGGAAAAUUGACGCA
rnacentral:misc_RNA from 6 species